CUUAACACAUGCAAGUCGAGCGGAAACGAUGGUAGCUUGCUACCAGGCGUCGAGCGGCGGACGGGUGAGUAAUACUUAGGAAUCUACCUAGUAGUGGGGGAUAGCACGGGGAAACUCGUAUUAAUACCGCAUACGACCUACGGGAGAAAGGGGGCAGUUUACUGCUCUCGCUAUUAGAUGAGCCUAAGUCGGAUUAGCUAGAUGGUGGGGUAAAGGCCUACCAUGGCGACGAUCUGUAGCUGGUCUGAGAGGAUGAUCAGCCACACCGGGACUGAGACACGGCCCGGACUCCUACGGGAGGCAGCAGUGGGGAAUAUUGGACAAUGGGGGAAACCCUGAUCCAGCCAUGCCGCGUGUGUGAAGAAGGCCUUUUGGUUGUAAAGCACUUUAAGCAGUGAAGAAGACUCUUCGGUUAAUACCCGGAGACGAUGACAUUAGCUGCAGAAUAAGCACCGGCUAACUCUGUGCCAGCAGCCGCGGUAAUACAGAGGGUGCAAGCGUUAAUCGGAAUUACUGGGCGUAAAGCGAGCGUAGGUGGCUUGAUAAGUCAGAUGUGAAAUCCCCGGGCUUAACCUGGGAACUGCAUCUGAAACUGUCAGACUAGAGUAGGUGAGAGGGAGGUAGAAUUUCAGGUGUAGCGGUGAAAUGCGUAGAGAUCUGAAGGAAUACCGAUGGCGAAGGCAGCCUCCUGGCAUCAUACUGACACUGAGGCUCGAAAGCGUGGGUAGCAAACAGGAUUAGAUACCCUGGUAGUCCACGCCGUAAACGAUGUCUACUAGUCGUUGGGUCCCUUGAGGACUUAGUGACGCAGCUAACGCAAUAAGUAGACCGCCUGGGGAGUACGGCCGCAAGGUUAAAACUCAAAUGAAUUGACGGGGGCCCGCACAAGCGGUGGAGCAUGUGGUUUAAUUCGAUGCAACGCGAAGAACCUUACCUGGUCUUGACAUAUCUAGAAUCCUGCAGAGAUGCGGGAGUGCCUUCGGGAAUUAGAAUACAGGUGCUGCAUGGCUGUCGUCAGCUCGUGUCCUGAGAUGUUGGGUUAAGUCCCGCAACGAGCGCAACCCUUGUCCUUAGUUACCAGCGGGUUAAGCCGGGAACUCUAAGGAUACUGCCAGUGACAAACUGGAAGAAGGCGGGGACGACGUCAAGUCAUCAUGGCCCUUACGA
rnacentral:rRNA from 1 species